ACCACUUCGAAGAAACUACAAAACUUUUUUCCUUACUAAAGCGUUUUGAGAAAUCGAUCCACGUUUGCAAUAAAGCCAGCAAGUUCGGGUAUGAAAUCAUUUCUUUAUCAAGAAGGCAAAAUGAAUAAGUCAGCGCUUCACCUCAUGCUUGUCAUCGGACUCCUUGUUAUUAGCACAUCUAACAAUAUGUGUUGUGCGAAAAGUUGGACCGAUUUGAGAUAUAGUCAAGCAAAGCCUCAAAUUGUUAAAGACUUGUUGCAAGAAUUGAACGAUGAUAUUGUGGCUGAAAGCUUUAACGACUAUCCCCCUGAUUAUUAGAAGAUCCCGCAAAUGCAAAAUAUGGUUGUCAACAUAAAUAAACCACGAUGCAUUUA